rnacentral:rRNA from 1 species
GAUAAACGCUGGCGGCGUGCAUGAGACAUGCAAGUCGAACGAAGGAUCGGGCUUGCUCGAUCCUUAGUGGCGGACGGCUGAGUAACGCGUAGGUGACCUACCCCGAAGUGGGGAAUAACUGCCCGAAAGGGUGGCUAAUACCGCAUGUGGUCGCACGUUCAUUCGUGCGAGUAAAGCCGCAAGGCGCUUCGGGAGGGGCCUGCGUCCGAUUAGCUCGUUGGUGGGGUAAUGGCUUACCAAGGCGACGAUCGGUAGGUGGUCUGAGAGGACGAUCACCCAGACUGGGACUGAGACACGGCCCAGACUCCUACGGGAAGCAGCAGUCGGGAAUUUUGCUCAAUGGGGGAAACCCUGAAGCAGCAACGCCGCGUGAGGGAUGAAGGCCUUCGGGUUGUAAACCUCUUUUGUCAGGGACGAUGAUAACGGUACCUGGCGAAUAAGCCACGGCUAACUACGUG